rnacentral:tRNA from 1 species
GCCGCUGUAGCUCAGUUGGUAGAGCAACUGAUUCGUAAUUAGUAGGUCAACGGUUCAAGUCCGUUCAGCGGCU